GGCGGGACGGGUGAGUAAUGCCUAGGGAUCUGCCCAGUCGAGGGGGAUAACAGUUGGAAACGACUGCUAAUACCGCAUACGCCCUACGGGGGAAAGGAGGGGACCUUCGGGCCUUUCGCGAUUGGAUGAACCUAUNUGGGAUUAGCUAGUUGGUAAGGUAAUGGCUUACCAAGGCGACGAUCCCUAGCUGUUCUGAGAGGAUGAUCAGCCACACUGGGACUGAGACACGGCCCAGACUCCUACGGGAGGCAGCNGUGGGGGAAUAUUGCNCAAUGGGGGAAACCCUGAUGCAGCCAUGCCGCGUGUGUGAAGAAGGGCCUUCGGGUUGUANAGCACUUUCAGUANGGAGGGAAAGGUAGCNNCUUAAUACGUUGUUGCUGUGACGUUACCUACAGAAGAAGGGACCGGCUUAACUUCNUNGCCAGCAGCCGCGGGUAAUACGNAGGGG
rnacentral:rRNA from 1 species